rnacentral:rRNA from 1 species
AAACUGACAGUGAGGCUGGAAAGCGGGGGGAGCGAACACGAUUUGAUACCCCUGGUAGUCCACCCCCGUAAGCGAUGAUUAAUAGGUGUCGGGGGGGCCAAGGUCCUCCGGUGCCGGCGCAAACGCAUUAAGUAAUUCACCUGGGAGUACGUUCGCAAGAAUGAAAACUCAAAGGAAUUGACGGGGACCCGCACAAGCGGUGGAGCAUGUGGUUUAUUUUGAAGCAACGCGAAGAACCUUACCUGGUCUUGACAUCCGGACGCCGUAUGGGCAAAGCCAUAUUUCUUUCGGGACGUCCGAGACAGGUGGUGCAUGGUUGUCGUCAGCUCGUGUCGUGAGAUGUUGGGUUAAGUCCCGCAACGAGCGCAACCCCUGUUUCCAGUAGCCAGCAUAUAAAGAUAGGCACUCUGGAGAGACUGCCCGGGAUAACCGGGAGGAAGGCGGGGAGGACGUCAAAUCAUCAUGCCCCUUAUGAUCAGGGCUACACACGUGCUACAAUGGCGUAAACAAAGGGAAGCGAGACGGUGACGUUGAGCAAAUCCCAGAAAUAACGUCCCAGUUCGGAUUGUAGUCUGCAACCCGACUACAUGAAGCUGGAAUCGCUAGUAAUCGCGAAUCAGAAUGCCGCGGUGAAUACGUUCCCGGGUCUUGUACACACCGCCCGUCA